GCGGCACGUGCGAUCGCCCGUGAGGGCGGUCACGAAGCCCUGACGAGUAGGAGGGUCGCGGCGGUGAGCGCAGAAGGGCUGGCCGCGAGGCCGUCUGGAGCCGCCGUCGGUGCAGAUCUUGGUGGUAGUAGCAAAUACUCCAGCGAGGCCCUGGAGGACUGACGUGGAGAAGGGUUUCGUGUGAACAGCCGUUGCACACGAGUCAGUCGAUCCUAAGCCCUAGGCGAAAGCCGAUGUCGAUGCGGUGUAGUUUUUACCAAAUAUAUAUUUAUAUAUGUAUGUAUGUAUAGAGMGAGMACACMCCCGUCGGG
rnacentral:rRNA from 1 species